ACGUAGGUGGCAAGCGUUGUCCGGAAUUACUGGGUGUAAAGGGAGCGUAGGCGGGAAUGUAAGUUGAAUGUCAAAUGCAUCGGCUCAACCGGUGUACGCGAUCUAAAACUGAUUUUCUUGAGUUAGGAAGAGGAGAGCGGAAUUCCCGGUGUAGGGGUGAAAUGCGUAGAUAUUAGGAAGAACACCAGUGGCGAAGGCGGCCUGCUGGGCUAUUACUGACGCUAAAGCUCGAAAGUGUGGGGAGCGAACAG
rnacentral:rRNA from 1 species